GGGCUCUUGAGCUGCUUCGUUGAUCGAGCCAACUCUCACUCUAUAGAGUGUACUUUCACUUCAAUAAACCUGCACUUUCGUUGCUUCCUUCCUUUGUUGCUUUGUGCAUUUUAUUAAAUCCUUUGUCCAACACGCCAAGAACCUGGACAACUCACAGUCACGACUUCCUAUCUGAUUACCUGGCACUUGUCCAGUCUUUCUGCAGUCAACAUCGCCCAGAUUCCAUGCAGAACCCUUUGCAGACUCCUGAGGAGGUACAGACAAGGAGUGUCCCUGUCCUCAUGGUGCUACAUGAAAAGGUACAGACAAGGAGUGUCCCUGUCCUCAUGGUGCUACAUGAAAAGGCAAGUGACCCAACAGGCAGCAUUGGAGAAAGUGCCUAACUGUGGAAAGGCCAGUGGGAGAGGCUCGGUGGAGGAGGAACUUGCUGGACUAGAGAGGUCAGGGAAAGCUUCUUGGAGGAAGUGAGGUAUGAGCUGGAAGUAGAAAUACCAGGAAGCCCAGGGCAGGCUUGGGAAUGGGCCAGGCAUGCUCAGGUCCCAGGGCAUAGAGUAACAAUCUGGCUGGAAGAAGGAAUGGAGGAACAAGCUGAUAGGAGGGUGAUUUCAUGUGGACUGGACCCCAUGUUCAGGAGGUGACCACAUAAGCCAGGAUGGGUGGAUAGAGUUAGCUAAUCCUGGAAGAAAUCAUGGAAUAAAAUUAAAUAUAUGCAUUGCUGGCUACAGAUCCAGUUCCUCCUUCCCGGGUCUCUGUGUCCACCCUUCUUGGGGGCCAUCCCACACCUCCCUGCUACUGCCACAACCUUUGCCCUUUCUAAGCAGGUGCUGGGUAGAGAAAGAGGUACAGUGGAACUUGCCAAAUGUCCUCGCCGUGCAACCUCUUGCAGAGGGCCAUGUGUGAUCUUCAGAUCCCAAGAUUUUCUUGAUAUUUAUAAAAGCACCUUUGCCUCCAUUCCCAAACUGAAUUCUCCAUCCCUGGGCUCCAUCUUGAAGGGAAAUGAUCACAGCUGUGGCGAUUGUGUGUCUCCUACUGGUGAGAGCUGGUAACUACAGCAUCUAAUUGGCCGUUUUCCAGACCUCUGCAGGGGAUCAGGACAGCAUAGUGUGUCCUCUGUCUUGAGAAGUUCGCAUCCAGCUCUGCCAUGGACCAGCCAUGCUCAUGGAUUGCCUCUCAUUUUGCUACGGACAGGAGACAGGAAAAUACUGGGUAGAAGAGGGCGGUUCCCGACAAAGGCCCCAACCUCAAGCCUGAAGACCCACGACCCUAAAUGAGGACAGCCAUUUCUGAUUUUGUGCCCAAAAAUUUGCCUUUUGGCCUGCCACACCCAACAUCUUGCCCCUAUAUAAACCCGAGACCUUAGCGGGCACACACACAAUCAGCCAAAUGUUGGGAUUAGCAGACCAGUGGACCAGCGGACCAGCAGACCAGUUAACGGUGGAACAACGCAGCAGAGAAAGAGAGAAGAGGAGGGAUGUCUGAAUGCCAAGGGGAAUUCGGCCGCGGGCAGUUAGAAAAGUCUGGCUGCUGGGCGGCCCGACUCUAGGGGAAGACCACCUUCCCACUCCAUCCCCUGUUCUGGCUCCCCAUCCAUCUCCCUGAGAGCCACCUCUACCACUCAAUAAAACCUUUCAUUCAUCCUUUGA
rnacentral:lncRNA from 1 species